CAGGUGGGUGGAACUUGAAGGUAACCACAGUGUCUGUUCCUGCUGUGACUCUGUGUGCAUAAAUGAAGAUGUGACUUUGCCCAUCGUUACUAAAAGCACCAUAAGCAGCGAUGCCCUGCUGGUCCUUGAAAAGCAGGGAGGUGACGACGGGGAGAGGAAGACUGGCGCGGCCAUUCUUGAACUGGAGGAGGACUUGCUGUCUUACGAAGGCGUGUCCAAAGAGGAUCGGGAGGCACUGUCUCCAGAGGACGAUGCCUUUGACGAGAAUGACUAUAACAGGCUUUUGGAUGUUGAGGCAGAAGGCAAUGACAAUUCUGAUGAUCCUAACCAGCAUUUGGAAGAUGCCUUUGAUGCCUCCAAGGUGCCAGAGCACAGUGACACUGAGAACUAUGAGGGGGCUGGGGAGCCUGGUCACUUCAAAGAGGCGGAUGAGUGGAGGGCUCUGUCUGCAGAGGAAGCCGGUGGUAACUGAAGAUGCAGUUCUGUCUAGUUAUUGGAUUAUCAUGACUGCUAAAUAAAGGUGUUGACAUUUUUA